rnacentral:rRNA from 1 species
UACAGAGGUGGCAAGCGUUGCUCGGAAUUACUGGGCGUAAAGGGCGCGUAGGCGGUCUUGCAAGUCCUGUGUGAAAUCCCUCGGCUCAACUGAGGAACUGCACAGGAAACUGCUUGGCUUGAGUUCGGGAGAGGGAAGCGGAAUUCCUGGUGUAGCGGUGAAAUUCGUAGAGAUCAGGAAGAACACCAGUGGCGAAGGCGCUCUGCUAGGCCGCAACUGACACUGAGGGACGAAAGCUAGGGGAGCGAAUGGG